AUAGGACUUGUUGUUGUUGUCCGCGAUUUAAGUGAAAUUAUUCUGGCCCAGUUGCCGUUACAAAAUUAAUUAAAUAUUAAAGAGAGUUAAUUUGGUGAUCAUUAAUUUUUUUCGGUAUAUUGAAUUGAAAGUAAAAAGUUCCGGAUUAAUUAUUUUUAAAACUCAAGAAGUAAAUUAUUAACAACGCCGAAGCUAACCGUGAUCGACGAGUAAAUCACUGUUUGAAGUUUGCUAACUGGACUGAUGAACAGUGGGAGAAAGUAAUUUGGUCUGAUGACAAAUGCUUCAAAAGUACUACUGACAGCAGAAAAAGAGUUUGGCGAAAAAAAAAAACAGCAGGACUGACCCUGAAAAUGUUGUGGAGAUAGCACGGUCUAAUCGAGUAUCUUCUAUGUAUUGGGGAUGUAUGACCUCAAUGGGUUUGAUGAAACUGGUGGAACUCGAAUUACCAUUCAAUUCAAUUAAAUACAGACAAGUAUUAAAUGAUGUCAUGUAUCCAGCAGCUAGGGAAGUUUUUCCUGUAUCAGAAUAUCCAUCGGUAACAUUCAUGCAUGAUAGCAGCCCCAUUCACACAGCAACUAUCAUUCAAGAAUGGUUUGAAGAACAUCCUGAUGUAAAUGUGAUUUCACAUCCACCAUAUUCACCGGACUUAAAUCCGAUCGAAA